AUUGAACGCUGGCGGCAGGCCUAACACAUGCAAGUCGAGCGAGCGGCGGACGGGUGAGUAAUGUAUGGGGACUGCCCGAUAGAGGGGGAUAACUACUGGAAACGGUGGCUAAUACCGCAUACUGUCGGAUAACCCAUAUGGGAUUAGCUAGUAGGUAAGGUAAUGGCGUACCUAGGCGACGAUCCCUAGCUGGUCUGAGAGGAUGAUCAGCCAAACUUGGACGUAGACAAGGCCCAGACCGCUACGGAGGAAGGAGUGGGGUAUAGUGCCAAAUUGGCGUCAGCCUGAUGCAGCCAUGACGGGUGGAUGAAGAAGGCCCUAGGGUUGUAAAGUACUUUCAGUCGGGAGGAGUUACCGACAGAAGAAGCCCCGGCUAACUCCGUGCCAGCAGCCGCGGUAAUUC
rnacentral:rRNA from 1 species